rnacentral:hammerhead_ribozyme from 1 species
AUCUAGCUGACGAGUCCCAAAUAGGACGAAACGCACGUCAAACUGGAU